rnacentral:ncRNA from 1 species
UAACAUUAUGAAAGGAGAGAAGGUUAGCACUCCCCUUGAGAAGGAUGGAAGAGGUCCUGGUGGCCUUUACAACACAUAUGUGGUUGAGGCCUUGCCACCUACUUAGUGGUAUCUAACCAAGAUUUUCU